UUAACUGAAACCAAAAAGAGGUAUAUUACUGUUAAUAAUAUAAUUGAAUAAUAUAUAAUUCCAGUUAAG
rnacentral:tRNA from 1 species